AUCUCUGUAGAGUCUGCAUAUCAAUAAGCGGAGGAAAAGAAACUAACUAGGAUUCCCUUAGUAACGGCGAGUGAAGCGGGAAGAGCUCAAAUUUGAAAUCUCCAAGGUUUUACCUUGACGGAUUGUAGUUUAAAGAAGUGUUUUCUGUUGGAGUUUCGGUAAAAGUUCUUUGGAAUAGGACAUCAUAGAGGGUGAGAAUCCCGUAUUUGACCGUUACUUUCCAGCUGUGUGAUACACUUUCAAAGAGUCGGAUUGUUUGGGAAUGCAGUCCAAGAUGGGUGGUAAAUUUCAUCUAAAGCUAAAUAUUGGCGAGAGACCGAUAGCGAACAAGUACCGUGAGGGAAAGAUGAAAAGAACUUUGAAAAGAGAGUUAAACAGUACGUGAAAUUGUCAAAAGGGAAGCGUUUGACACCAGUGUUGUUUAGUUGAAAAUCAAUUCAAUAGUUUUUGAUUCUAAGUAGUAUUGACUUCAUCAGCUUGCUGCUUUCUUCUCAGAAAUUAUUGAAUGCACUUUUCAGUUAACAAGUCAACAUCAAUUUCUUUUGUUGUAAAAGGGUAAGAGGAAGGUGGCUUGCGCUUCGGCUCAAGUGUUUAUAGCCUUUUAUCUCUGCAAUCGGAGAGAUUGAGGUCUGCAGCGUAGAUCCUUCGGGGUUAGAUACAUUGGUGCUAAGCUAUAGCCUUGUAUAGACAACUUGUUGACUAUGCUCAGUCAUGUAGCUUACUCGCUGAUGCUAUUUUACCUACGCUUAGGAUGUUGAGUCAUCACACAUCUCU
rnacentral:rRNA from 1 species